GGUGACGAGACCGAGACAGAGGCGGAGGCGAGCCCGUUAACGGACGACUCGGGCAGCGAUUAAGACUCUGGGACCAAUUCCGUCAUUUGACCGGGCAUCCUUCUCCUUAAAAUAAUCAUCACAGACUCGCAGAGCGCCCCGUUGGUCAAAAACUCAUGGGGUGACAGAAAUGGCUUCUCAGAGUCUGUGAGCUGUGCAGUGUGGGACGCUGUCUG
ensembl:lncRNA